rnacentral:rRNA from 1 species
GACGUAGGGGGCAAGCGUUGUCCGGAAUUAUUGGGCGUAAAGAGCUCGUAGGCGGCCUGUUACGUCUGCUGUGAAAUCCCGGGGCUUAACCCCGGGCGUGCAGUGGAUACGGGCAGGCUGGAGGCAGGCAGGGGAGAACGGAAUUCCCGGUGUAGCGGUGAAAUGCGCAGAUAUCGGGAGGAACACCAAUGGCGAAGGCAGCUCGCUGGGACGGUACUGACACUGAGACGCGAAAGCGUGGGGAGCAAACAGG